rnacentral:rRNA from 1 species
AUGGCGAUGGAGCCGGCGGUGAAGGUGGCGCUGGGGACGGCGGCGUUCGGCAUCUUCUGGGUGCUGGCGGUGUUCCCGGCGGUGCCCUUCCUGCCCAUCGGCCGCACGGCGGGGUCGCUGCUGGGAGCCAUGCUCAUGGUGCUCCUCAACGUCAUCACCGCCGACGAGGCCUACGCCGCGGUGGACCUGCCCAUCCUCGGCCUGCUAUUCGGCACCAUGGUCGUCAGCGUCUACCUGGAGCGCGCCGACAUGUUCCGCCACCUCGGCCGCGCGCUCUCGUGGCGCAGCCAGGGCGGCAAGGACCUGCUCCUCCGCACCUGCGCCGUCUCCGCGCUCGCGUCGGCGCUCUUCACCAACGACACCUGCUGCGUGGUGCUCACCGAGUUCAUCCUCAAGAUCGCCCGCCAGAACAACCUCCCGCCCAAGCCCUUCCUCCUGGCCCUCGCCUCCUCCGCCAACAUCGGCUCCGCGGCCACCCCCAUCGGCAACCCGCAGAACCUCGUCAUCGCCGUGCAGAGCGGAAUCUCCUUCGGCGACUUCGUCUUCGGCAUCCUGCCGGCCACGCUCGUCGGCGUCGUCGUCAACGCCGCCAUCCUGCUCUGCCUCUACUGGCGGGAGCUGUCCGACGACAAGUGCGUCGACGUGUCCUCCCACCACGACGCGCUCCCCGCCGAGGUCGUCGACGAGGACGACGUCACCUCGCACCGCUUCUCGCCGGCCACCAUGUCGCACCCGCGCCGCGGCCGCCUCCCGGACGGUUCUGUUCUCCCCGACGCGGCCGGCUGCCACGCGCACUGCUCAUGCGACGACCCGGUGAAGCCCGCCUCCGUCAACGGCGACGCCAAGGCGGCGCCCGACGGCGUCGGGAUCCACCAGCGGCGUGGCUCUGCCGCCAGAGUGACGACCAAGGAGGAGGAGGAUGAGUACUGCUGCUUCAACUCGGCGGAGGAGAAGGAGGCGGCCAUGGACGAGGAGUGGAAGAACAGGCUGUGGAAGACGUGCGUGUACGUCAUCACCUUCGGCAUGCUCGUGGCGCUGCUGCUUGGCCUGAACAUGUCCUGGAGCGCCAUUACCGCCGCCCUGGCGCUCAUCGUCCUCGACUUCAAGGACGCCCGCCCCUGCCUCGAGAAGGUCUCCUACCCACUGCUGCUCUUCUUCUGUGGGAUGUUCAUCACCGUGGACGGCUUCAACAAGACCGGCAUUCCCAGCACCUUCUGGGAGUUCAUGGAGCCCUACGCGCGGAUCGACACGCCCACCGGGGUGGUCAUACUCGCCCUGGUCAUCCUGCUCCUCUCCAAUGUCGCGUCGAAUGUCCCGACCGUCCUGCUGCUCGGCGCACGGGUGGCGGCGUCGGCGGCGGCCAUCUCCCCGGCGGCGGAGACCAACGCCUGGCUGAUCCUGGCUUGGGUGAGCACGGUGGCGGGCAACCUGUCCCUUCUGGGGUCGGCAGCGAACCUGAUCGUGUGCGAGCAGGCGCGCCGGUCCCAACAGUUCGGGUACACCCUCUCCUUCUUCAGCCACCUCCAGUUCGGCUUCCCGGCGACGCUCAUCGUCACAGGCAUCGGCCUGCUGCUCAUCAGGAGCAACUGA